CCUACGGGUGGCAGCAGUGAGGAAUAUUGGUCAAUGGGCGCGAGCCUGAACCAGCCAAGUAGCGUGAAGGAUGACUGCCCUACGGGUUGUAAACUUCUUUUAUAAGGGAAUAAAGUGCGGUACGUGUCCAGUUUUGCAUGUACCUUAUGAAUAAGGAUCGGCUAACUCCGGGCCAGCAGCCGCGGUAAUACGGAGGAUCCGAGCGUUAUCCGGAUUUAUUGGGUUUAAAGGGAGCGUAGACGGGUUGUUAAGUCAGUUGUGAAAGUUUGCGGCUCAACCGUAAAAUUGCAGUUGAUACUGGCAGCCUUGAGUACAGUAGAGGUAGGCGGAAUUCGUGGUGUAGCGGUGAAAUGCUUAGAUAUCACGAAGAACUCCGAUUGCGAAGGCAGCUUACUGGACUGUAACUGACGUUGAUGCUCGAAAGUGUGGGUAUCAAACAGGAUUAGAUACCCUAGUAGUC
rnacentral:rRNA from 1 species